AGUGGAUGGGGAGCAACCUAGUUGUGAGUGCGGAAAGGUAGUGCCAAGAAAAGCUGUCAGAAUGAUGAGAAUUGAGUCCCGGUACCCGAAACCGACACAGGUAGGCAAGUAGAGAGUACUAAGGGGCGCGAGGUAACUCUCUCCAAGGGACUCGGCAAAAUGACCCCGUAACUUAGGGAGAAGGGGUGCCACCGAGAGGUGGUCGCAGUGAAGAGGCCCAGGCGACUGUUUAGCAAAAACAUAGGUCUCUGCAAACUCGAAAGAGGAAGUAUAGGGGCUGACGCCUGCCCAGUGCCGGAAGGUUAAAGAAGUUGGUCAGGAGAAAUCUGAAGCUGGCGACUGAAGCCCCGGUGAACGGCGGCCGUAACUAUAACGGUCCUAAGGUAGCGAAAUUCCUUGUCGGGUAAGUUCCGACCCGCACGAAAGGCGUAACGAUCUGGGCGCUGUCUCGGAGAGAGGCUCGGCGAAAUAGGAUUGUCUGUGAAGAUACGGACUACCUGCAUUUGGACAGAAAGACCCUAUGAAGCUUUACUGUAGCUUGAAAUUGUGUUCGGGCUUCCUGUGCGCAGGAUAGGUGGGAGGCUAGGAAGGUCUGCUUGUGGGCAGAUUGGAGCCAACCGUGAGAUACCACUCUCAGGAGGCUAGAAUUCUAACUUAAUUAAGGACAGUUUCAGGUGGGCAGUUUGACUGGGGCGGUCGCCUCCAAAAAGGUAACGGAGGCGUACAAAGGUUCCCUCACACUGGUUGGAAAUCAGUGGCAGAGUGCAAAGGCAGAAGGGAGCUUGACUGCGAGACGGACAAGUCGAGCAGGGUGGAAACACGGUCUUAGUGAUCCGACGGUGCUGUGUGGAAGGGCCGUCGCUCAACGGAUAAAAGUUACUCUAGGAUAACAGGCUGAUCUCCCCCAAGAGUUCACAUCGACGGGGAGGUUUGGCACCUCGAUGUCGGCUCAUCGCAACCUGGGGCGGAAGCACGUCCCAAGGGUUGGGCUGUUCGCCCAUUAAAGCGGUACGUGAGCUGGGUUCAGAACGUCGCGAGACAGUUCGGUCCAUAUCCGAUGUAGGCGUGAGAAUAUCGAGAGGAGCCUUCCUUAGUACGAGAGGACCGGGAAGGACGCACCGCUGGUGUACCUGUUAUGAUGCCAAUCGUAAACGCAGGGUAGCCAAGUGCGGAGAGGAUAACCGCUGAAAGCAGCUAAGUGGGAAGCCCACCUCAAGAUGAGUAUUCUGGUGUAAGGUCACGGGGAGACGACCCGUAGAUAGGCACGAGGUGGAAGUGCAGAGAUGUAUGAAGCCGAAGUGUACUAAUAGACCGUCGGCUUGACC
rnacentral:rRNA from 1 species